AGACUGAACAACUAUAAUGCUUAGAAGCUAAUUUAACAUGAAACUAAACAUAGUUUUAAUAUUAUUUACAACAUGAUAUAAUAACUAUAAUAUCUUAGCUUAGGUGGAAAAAAAGGGUAUCAAGAUUUAUACAUUACUAGCUGUCCCGAGCUUGGCGUUGUCCGUGCCAAAUUGUUAUUAUUUUUAACUUUAUUCCCGUUUUGCUUUGCCCGUAUCAGUAUACUAAGCGAACAAAUAUUUGGAAAGUGAAUAGCCUAAAGUCAGCGGACAAAAAGUUUUCUAGUGUGUCAUACGGUUUUUCAUUCGUGUUAACACAGAUGCCCGCAUAGAUAUCCACAAUAUAAUAACUCUGAAAUUAUAAGAACAUAAUACUACUGUAGUGUUGUUACUAUACGUCACGUGUACCAAUGAAUACAAUUUUCAAAUAUGACUUUUUACGUGUUUUCACUUUUCACUCACUCACCCGGCCCAGCGCAUAGUAUUUUUUUCGUUCAUGAAACCAAAGCAGCCCAUCCUAUUUCAAACCAAUAGUAGACCGACAGGCAGUUAGAUAGACUCGUUAUUUUAAGUUGUUAUAGUUAUUAUGGAAUUUUUAUUUCUAAUUUUCAUUUCGUCUAUGUUACUAAGGUAGGCCAUAAUUGAACAAAAUUAAUUUAAUUUUCGUGCCAAGAAUAUCUAAAAACCUUUUAUCUCCUUUAAGUUCUAUUUUCUCUGUACCAAAACACAUCAAGAUUGGUUCAGCGGUUUAGGCAUGAAAACGUAACAGACAGAUUUACUUUCACAUUCAUUACAUUAGUUAAGAUUAGGAUUAAUUUCUAUUAGUUAUUCUUCUUCUUUUAUUUUUUUUUUUUUUUUUUGUUAUAUGCAUUACAGACUUGUGCCCAGAAAUACAAAACAUAUAUGUACCUAUAAAAUAACAUGUCCUGACUGACUGUCGUGACUAAUUCAUGAUCACAGAUCCCAAAUCACGCUGAACGGAUCGGGCUGAAAUUCGGCACACAUAUAGUUAUUAUGACGUAGGCAUCCGUAAUUCAAUCACUAAGAGAUUAAAAUAGAGGUUUUUAGGUAUUUUCGGUACGAAUAUCUAAUUUGUUAUGUAUUUAUUUUCAGUGGCACCGAAACCAGUAGUCGCCAGUCGAGGGUGAUGCUUGAUGGGUACCUGAACCAUAGUUUUAUCGAAUUGGUAUGUAUGAAAUAUUAGUUAAGAGUGUUGUAUGGGAGUUUGUUUUGUAAACGAAGGUGGUACAACUUUUUACCUGUUCACCUUCCCAAAACACGGUUCGGCGCAAGUGUUAAUUUUAUAUUCUGAGUGGAGCGAAGAAGCUUAUGAUCUUACAGAGAUGUUUAUUUAUUAUUUUUUUUUUUUCGUUCUAUGGACAAACUUCUUAUGUGUAGCACCUGUUCAUUAAAUAAUUGGAAUUUUACCAUAAUAUGACAUAUAUAUAUUGUUGACGAAGCAGCACUACUAACUGAACUCCGCUCAGAAUCGUUUUUUCGUUAACAACGGUUUAUCGUUGCUUACAGGUGUAUAUUAAAUACCGGUGACUGCGCCCGAGCCCAUUAAUUCUAGGACGUCUUUUUUAUUCAUACGACGGUUACCCCGGAUGUUGAUUCGGCCGUCACGGAUGAGAAAACUAUGAUUGUUAUCACUAUUAUUUACACUAUUAUCUAGCGAUAGCGAUUGCGUGGCCGGGUCGGCUAGUGAUAGCAAAUAACGAUAAUGUUGGGGGAUGCGGUUUCGUGGGAAAACGGCUGUCGGCCGAACCGUCGUCAAGAACAAGAUGCGAAUAUUAUGACCGGCGCGGAGGAUUCGUCCGUGUACCGGCGAAAGGCUCGCGCGGCCCACAUUAUUAUUUAUAUCGAAUUGAAUAUUUAAUAUUGGAUUACUG
rnacentral:lncRNA from 1 species